ensembl:lncRNA SPNS2-AS1 SPNS2 antisense RNA 1
CGCGCGGGCUGCUCCAGGGGUGGGGACUCCUCUAUCCCUUGGCCCCGGACAAGUCCCAGGGCACGGACGUGACCCAUUACGAACAGGCAGUGAAGCUGUGGCAGGGCUGGAGCUGCCCCAGGCUCUGGCAUCAUCCCCGAGGGCUGGAGCUCACUCCCCGCUAGAGGCUUUUCCGGACCCCACGUCCACAGGCAGGUGCAUCUGGUGAAGCUUUCGGCCACAGUGAGUCAUGGCAUAGCCAACGGGUGACACAGCACGAGGCACCCCCCCCGCCCCCCUCCACUGUCUCUUGUGAGCAGAGUUAAUCCCCAAGCUGGUGUUUCUUGGCGCCUUCGAGGUGUAUUUUAAAUUCUGCAAAGUGACUAAAAAU